rnacentral:rRNA from 1 species
UACGUAGGGUGCGAGCGUUGUCCGGAAUUAUUGGGCGUAAAGAGCUCGUAGGCGGUUUGCCGCGUCGGCCGUGAAAACUUGGGGCUUAACCCCAAGCCUGCGGUCGAUACGGGCAGACUUGAGUUCGGCAGGGGAGACUGGAAUUCCUGGUGUAGCGGUGAAAUGCGCAGAUAUCAGGAGGAACACCGAUGGCGAAGGCAGGUCUCUGGGCCACUACUGACGCUGAGAAGCGAAAGCAUGGGGAGCGAACAGG